GCAAUGGAUAUUUGAACGAAUAGUGAUAUGGAGGCGCUCCCCGAAUUAGCGCAGCUUUCGGGGUUUAUCGGGUCUAGAACAAAGUGGGGCGUGAUUUAUGCUGGAUUGCGAAUUUGUGAUGUGGGUGUUGUGUGAAUGAUAUCAGUACGAUGAUGUCAUCUUUUAGCUUUGAGGAUCACGCUUUUGUAAGCUUUUCGGGAUUCGACGAUGUGUUGGUGCAAGGGGUUUCUCAACUGGAACACGGUUCCCGACAUGAGUGUACCGUUCUAAGAGCCUGAAUUGAUGAAUGAGUCGUUGAUAUGCAGAUUACUGGGUCUUUGGCAAGGAAAGCCAUUAAGGAGUUGAUGGCGAAAGGGACCAUCCGACUCGUUGCCGCUCACGCGAACCAGCAAAUUUACACUAGAGCUACCAACACAUAGAUUUCUGUUUCGGAUUCCUG
rnacentral:lncRNA from 1 species